AUCUGAACCUUCGGGGAACGAUAACGGCGUCGAGCGGCGGACGGGUGAGUAAUGCCUAGGAAAUUGCCCUGAUGUGGGGGAUAACCAUUGGAAACGAUGGCUAAUACCGCAUGAUGCCUACGGGCCAAAGAGGGGGACCUUCGGGCCUCUCGCGUCAGGAUAUGCCUAGGUGGGAUUAGCUAGUUGGUGAGGUAAGGGCUCACCAAGGCGACGAUCCCUAGCUGGUCUGAGAGGAUGAUCAGCCACACUGGAACUGAGACACGGUCCAGACUCCUACGGGAGGCAGCAGUGGGGAAUAUUGCACAAUGGGCGCAAGCCUGAUGCAGCCAUGCCGCGUGUGUGAAGAAGGCCUUCGGGUUGUAAAGCACUUUCAGUCGUGAGGAAGGUAGUGUAGUUAAUAGCUGCAUUAUUUGACGUUAGCGACAGAAGAAGCACCGGCUAACUCCGUGCCAGCAGCCGCGGUAAUACGGAGGGUGCGAGCGUUAAUCGGAAUUACUGGGCGUAAAGCGCAUGCAGGUGGUUUGUUAAGUCAGAUGUGAAAGCCCGGGGCUCAACCUCGGAAUAUCAUUUGAAACUGGCAGACUAGAGUACUGUAGAGGGGGGUA
rnacentral:rRNA from 1 species